UACGUAGGGGGCUAGCGUUGUCCGGAAUCAUUGGGCGUAAAGAGCGUGUAGGCGGCCAGGUAGGUCCGCUGUGAAAACUCGAGGCUCAACCUCGAGAUGUCGGCGGAAACCAUCUGGCUAGAGUCCGGAAGAGGAGAAUGGAAUUCCCGGUGUAGCGGUGAAAUGCGCAGAUAUCGGGAAGAACACCCGUGGCGAAGGCGGUUCUCUGGGACGGUACUGACGCUGAGACGCGAAAGCGUGGGGAGCGAACAGG
rnacentral:rRNA from 1 species